GACGAACGCUGGCGGCGCGCCUAACACAUGCAAGUCGAACGAGCGAGAGAGAGCUUGCUUUCUCGAGCGAGUGGCGAACGGGUGAGUAACGCGUGAGGAAUCUGCCUCAAAGAGGGGGACAACAGUUGGAAACGACUGCUAAUACCGCAUAAGCCCACGGUGCCGCAUGGCACAGAGGGAAAAGGAGUAAUCCGCUUUGAGAUGGCCUCGCGUCCGAUUAGCUAGUUGGUGAGGUAACGGCCCACCAAGGCGACGAUCGGUAGCCGGACUGAGAGGUUGAACGGCCACAUUGGGACUGAGACACGGCCCAGACUCCUACGGGAGGCAGCAGUGGGGAAUAUUGCACAAUGGGGGAAACCCUGAUGCAGCGACGCCGCGUGGAGGAAGAAGGUCUUCGGAUUGUAAACUCCUGUUGUUGGGGAAGAUAAUGACGGUACCCAACAAGGAAGUGACGGCUAACUACGUGCCAGCAGCCGCGGUAAAACGUAGGUCACAAGCGUUGUCCGGAAUUACUGGGUGUAAAGGGAGCGCAGGCGGGAAGACAAGUUGGAAGUGAAAUCUAUGGGCUCAACCCAUAAACUGCUUUCAAAACUGUUUUUCUUGAGUAGUGCAGAGGUAGGCGGAAUUCCCGGUGUAGCGGUGGAAUGCGUAGAUAUCGGGAGGAACACCAGUGGCGAAGGCGGCCUACUGGGCACCAACUGACGCUGAGGCUCGAAAGUGUGGGUAGCAAACAGGAUUAGGUACCCUGGUAGUCCACACCGUAAACGAUGAUUAUUAGGUGUUGGAGGAUUGACCCCUUCAGUGCCGCAGUUAACACAAUAAGUAAUCCACCUGGGGAGUACGACCGCAAGGUUGAAACUCAAAGGAAUUGACGGGGGCCCGCACAAGCAGUGGAGUAUGUGGUUUAAUUCGACGCAACGCGAAGAACCUUACCAAGUCUUGACAUCCCUUGACAGACAUAGAAAUAUGUAAUCUCUUCGGAGCAAGGAGACAGGUGGUGCAUGGUUGUCGUCAGCUCGUGUCGUGAGAUGUUGGGUUAAGUCCCGCAACGAGCGCAACCCUUAUGGUCAGUUACUACGCAAGAGGACUCUGGCCAGACUGCCGUUGACAAAACGGAGGAAGGUGGGGAUGACGUCAAAUCAUCAUGCCCUUUAUGACUUGGGCUACACACGUACUACAAUGGCGUUAAACAAAGAGAAGCAAGACCGCGAGGUGGAGCAAAACUCAGAAACAACGUCCCAGUUCGGACUGCAGGCUGCAACUCGCCUGCACGAAGUCGGAAUUGCUAGUAAUCGUGGAUCAGCAUGCCACGGUGAAUACGUUCCCGGGCCUUGCACA
rnacentral:rRNA from 1 species